AUCUCUCCGAAAACGUGGAACUGGAGUUCUCCUCCGUUUCACACCAGACGCUCGCUGGAUGCAUCCAGGGGCACGUUUCUGCUUUGAGGGCUACAGGUCCAUUGGAGCAGAGACUACAUCACAGUUAUUGGCAUGUUACUCACAACAAGCAACAGAUCAUAGACCACAAACUAACCUGCGACCAUAACAGACUGCACAAUAAUACUGUAACAUUUACAUUGCUCUCCCCAUCUACUGAACCACAGUGAUGACCCAAAGGAAAUCUUCUUGAGGGACGAGAUACGAAGAGAUUAUUACUGGGGUGAAAGAGGUCUUUGAUGAUGUUGGUUGCCUUCCUGAGGCAGCAGAAAGUUUAGAUGGAGUCAAUGGAUGGCUUGCAUGAUGGACUGGACUUCCCAACUCUCUGUGGUUUCUUAUGGUCCUGGGCUACCAGUUGCCAUACCAACCUGUGACAUAUCUGGAUAGAAUACUUUCUACGGUGCAUCCAGAAAAAUCAGUAGGAGUCUUUAUGGACAUGUCAAAUCUCCUGAGCCUCCUGAGGAAGUAGAGAUGUUGUUGUGCUUUCUUGACCACAGUGUCAAUGUUAAUGGACCAGAACAGAUUGUUGGUGAUCGUCACUCCUAAGAACUUGAUGGUCUCGACCAUCUCCUGCUCAGAACCAUUGAUGUAGACAGGGGCAUUCCCUCUACCUUGCUUCCUUUAAGGAAAACUGGCUUAAAUUUCCUGUCCAUUUAUACUAAUUGUCCAUUUAUACUAAUCCUGUCCAUUUUUACCUCCCUGUCACUUAUGUUGGUUGAGAUGGGCAAAAAUAAUACAAGCCAGGGAUUGAACAUGUCAGGUCUGAGUAGCCCCAUGCCAUAUGAAGCAAUAGUAUCACCCAUUAAGGCAUUUUAAAGUGCUUUCAGUUAUUUUUACUCAUUCAAAAAGGCACUCGGAGAUAUUACCUACAACUUUUGCAUUGCAGUGACAUCUUUGGGCAUACGUGUUAUUGCAGAAAAAAACUGAACUUUUUGUCAAAGAUUGUUAAAAGAGAUGUAAUUUUAUUUGUUAACAUUGGCAGCACUCAGUGAGAGGGUGGGACUGGGCACUUUGUGGAUGAUGAAGUGACGUAAGCCUUGGUCAGGCACUGGUUAUUCAAGUAGAAGAGAGCCCCUGCAAACCCAUAGGAAGAUCACCAGUUUUAUUGGGUAGCCUCCCAAAUAGCACAUGAUGCCUGCCCACCUGCUGCUGCUAGAAUUGGCUUUCAGGUAGGAAGAUCCAUUCUCCACCUCCCCACCUCAAACUUUAUCAGAGGGAGUCAUCAAAAUGAGGGGAACUCCAUUUCCUGCCUUGUCUCCUGAUCCUAUGGCCAUCCCUUCCUCAGCUUGCAGCCAACUCCUGGGAGGGGAAUUAAAUUUUGCUCAUUGCCUGCAGAUACCUCGGAUCUUUGAGCAGUAUUGAGUUUAUGAUUUCAGUGGUUCAACAGUCAGGGCAUCACAGUGAAUUUGAUUGCUCAGUCCAGAGAUGGAGAGAAAUGUAAUUGGUAUCUAGCAAUUCAUAUGGGGGAGUAUACAUGUACAGACAAAAUGUGAAGGUAGAGUUCAUUCAUAAUGUUUCCCUUCGCUGCAGUGGAUUAGUCUACUGUGAAUAAGAUUUGGAAUUUUCAACCGGUAAUAUUAAAGAGCUGGCAUUAUUUAAAAUUGGUUACUGCCAGCGGGAAAAUACCAUCAAUCAGAAAAUCAAGGCUCCACUACAUAUGUUCAUACAUGAAGAAUUUCUAGUGUGAAAGAAGAUGACAAUAAUGAAAGGCAUCCAACCUGUGUGUUCUGUCAUGACUAAUACCAUAUACUGUACUCCAGAUUAAUCACUGCUAACUAUACAUUAGACUCUAGUAGGGAAAUUAGCGAAGUGAGAUGCCUGUUAAAUCUGAAAAGGACAGCAUAAAUUUUAGUCAUAAUUUUAUAUUUAAUUGAAUAACUUAAUGGAUCAUUAUUUAAUAUCCUGUAUCAUUAUUAUCUAAAAACACAGAUAUUGAUUAUUAUGAUAAUUCUGUGAUGUAUUGCCUGAGCUGCCAGAAUUUCUGCUGAUACUGGAAACUUUUAUUUAACAUCAUUACUAUUGUUAUUAUUAUAAUUAUUUUACCGGGCACCGUGUGGGAUAGACCACCAGCUGAAGCAGUUCAUAUUUUUUCAUUUGUAUCUGUUUAAAAAAGGGAUGGAUGAAUAUGUGGUCAGAGCCAUAGUUGAGGGUUAUUUGAGGUAGGGAGAGACAUAUUGGCCCAGAUCAUCCUUCCCUGAAUCAUCAGAGACCAGAUGUAUGAUCUGUUAGAUGCUCCGAUACAAUGACCCCAGGGCCCUUUGAUAAGGUCUGCACUAAGGGACGGCAUGAUGGCUCAGUGGUUAGCACUGCUGCCUCAGUGCCUGGGACCUGGGUUCAAUUCCAGCCUCAG